UGGGGAAUUUUGCACAAUGGGGGAAACCCUGAUGCAGCGACGCCGCGUGAUUCAGAAGGCCUUCGGGUUGUAAAAAUCUUUUCUAUGGGAAGAAAAUGACAGUACCAUAGGAAUAAGGACCGGCUAAUUACGUGCCAGCAGCCGCGGUAAUACGUAAGGUCCGAGCGUUGUCCGGAAUCAUUGGGCGUAAAGGGUACGUAGGCGGGUAAGCAAGUUAGAAGUGAAAUCCUAUAGCUCAACUAUAGUAAGCUUUUAAAACUGCUCAUCUUGAGGUAUGGAAGGGAAAGUGGAAUUCCUAGUGUAGCGGUGAAAUGCGCAGAUAUUAGGAGGAAUACCGGUGGCGAAGGCGACUUUCUGGCCAUAACCUGACGCUGAGGUACGAAAGCGUGGGUAGCAAACAGG
rnacentral:rRNA from 1 species